rnacentral:rRNA from 1 species
AUUGAACGCUAGCGGGAUGCCUAACACAUGCAAGUCGAACGAGUGGCGGACGGGUGAGUAAUAUAUCGGAACGUGCCUAGUAGCGGGGGAUAACUACUGGAAAGGGUGGCUAAUACCGCAUACCAUCGGAUGUGCCCCUAUGGGAUUAGCUAGUUGGUGGGGUAAAGGCUCACAAAGGCAACGAUCCGUAGCUGGUUUGAGAGGAGGACCAGCCACACUGGAACUGAGACACGGCCCAGACUCCUACGGGAGGCAGCAGUGGGGAAUAUUGGACAAUGGGGGAAAGCCUGAUGCAGCCAUCCCGCGUGUAUGAGAAGGCCUUCGGGUUGUAAAGUACUUUUGGCAGAGAAGCGGUAUCUGCAGAAUAAGCACCGGCUAACUACGUGCCAGCAGCCGCGGUAAUAC